rnacentral:rRNA from 1 species
UCCGUAGGGUGCGAGCGUUGUCCGGAAUUAUUGGGCGUAAAGAGCUUGUAGGCGGUUUGUCGCGUCUGCUGUGAAAAUCCGGGGCUCAACCCCGGACUUGCAGUGGGUACGGGCAGACUAGAGUGUGGUAGGGGAGACUGGAAUUCCUGGUGUAGCGGUGAAAUGCGCAGAUAUCAGGAGGAACACCGAUGGCGAAGGCAGGUCUCUGGGCCACUACUGACGCUGAGAAGCGAAAGCAUGGGGAGCGAACAGG